rnacentral:lncRNA from 1 species
UAGCUCGUCUUCGACAGUGAUGGGAGCUGCGUCAUCUGGAGCAGUGAUAGCUUUGUCUUUGGCUGGUGUGAAAUCUUCUGGUACUCUUUCAGCUUCUUUCUCUUUCUCUUCCUCUUGAGUUCCUUCGUCUUUGGCAGUGAUGGGAGCUGCUUCGUCUGGAACAAUGAGAUCUUUGUCUUCGCCUGGUGUGGAAACUUCUGGUACUGCUUUCUCUUUGUCUUCCUCCUGAGUUUCUGCGAGCUGAGUUCCAUCGUCUUCGGCAGUAAUGAGAGCUGCUUCGUCUAGAGCAAUGUCGCCUUUGUCUUCGGCUGGUGUUGUUGCUUCUUCCUUGUCGUUCUCGUGGACGAUGCUUGUUGUUUCGAGCUCCUUAGCCUUCUGAUCCUCGCGAUUCUCUGCUGGAUGAGUUCCUUCACCAGCAGCUACCGCCGCUUCUUUCUCUUCGUCCGCAGAUACUAUUGUUUCUUCAACUGUUGCUUCUUCAUCUUUGCCCGCUUCUUGGUCCGGAAAGGUGACAUCUGCGUCGUGAAAUUCUUCCUUGUCCGGACUUAUACCUUCUGCUACUUGAGUUUCGUCGUGCACCUCCUCCUUGUCCGGAAUUGUAUCUCCUGCUACUUGAGUUUCGUUGUGCACCUCUUCCAUGUCCGGAAUAAGAGUUUCCUUGUGCACCUCGUCCUUGUCCAGAAUUAUAUCUUCGGCUACUUGAGUUUCGUCGUGCACCUCUUCCUUGUCCGGAAUUAUAUCUUCGGCUACUUGAGCUUCAUCGUGGAUCUCUUCUCUGUCUGGAAUUAUGUCUUCUGCUGUCUGAGUGCUCGUGGAAAGAGCAUCCGUUUGGAGAACUGUUGUUUCUUUCUCUUUCUCUCCGCUUGGAUCUUGAUCUUCUGCUACUUGAAAUCUUUCCUCGCGUUUGUCAGUUGCUUCCAUCUCCGAGUUUUCUGCGAUCUUAGCCUGAGUUUCUUCACUGCUCACUGUUUCUUGCACCUUUUCUUCGUCGUCGCCAGCAGCUGGAACAUUCCUGUCCACGGCUUCGUCUUUCAAAGGUUCGUGUUCAAUCAGAUUUGUUGACUCCUCGGUGUCUCUAAUAUCUUGCUCGCCUUCUUCAGUCCGACCUUCCACUGGAUUUUGGAUUGCUUCGUCACCACCUUCGACUGCCUUGUCCUCCCUGGCUUCGAUAGCUCCCUCGACAUCUUGGACUGUCGACG